GACGAACGCUGGCGGCGUGCUUAACACAUGCAAGUCGAACGGAAAGGUCCUGCUUUUGUGGGGUGCUCGAGUGGCGAACGGGUGAGUAACACGUGAGUAACCUGUCCUUGACUUUGGGAUAACUUCAGGAAACUGGGGCUAAUACCGGAUAGGAGCUCCUGCUGCAUGGUGGGGGUUGGAAAGUUUCGGCGGUUGGGGCUGGACUCGCGGCUUAUCAGCUUGUUGGUGGGGUAGUGGCUUACCAAGGCUUUGACGGGUAGCCGGCCUGAGAGGGUGACCGGCCACAUUGGGACUGAGAUACGGCCCAGACUCCUACGGGAGGCAGCAGUGGGGAAUAUUGCACAAUGGGCGGAAGCCUGAUGCAGCAACGCCGCGUGCGGGAUGACGGCCUUCGGGUUGUAAACCGCUUUCGCCUGUGACGAAGCGGGAGUGACGGUAAUGGGUAAAGAAGCACCGGCUAACUACGUG
rnacentral:rRNA from 1 species